GUGGGUUCUUGGGUGCCAAAGA
rnacentral:miRNA from 1 species